GACGAACGCUGGCGGCGUGCCUAAUACAUGCAAGUAGAACGCUGAAGAGAGGAGCUUGCUCUUCUUGGAUGAGUUGCGAACGGGUGAGUAACGCGUAGGUAACCUGCCUUGUAGCGGGGGAUAACUAUUGGAAACGAUAGCUAAUACCGCAUAACAAUGGAUGACACAUGUCAUUUAUUUGAAAGGGGCAAUUGCUCCACUACAAGAUGGACCUGCGUUGUAUUAGCUAGUAGGUGAGGUAACGGCUCACCUAGGCGACGAUACAUAGCCGACCUGAGAGGGUGAUCGGCCACACUGGGACUGAGACACGGCCCAGACUCCUACGGGAGGCAGCAGUAGGGAAUCUUCGGCAAUGGGGGCAACCCUGACCGAGCAACGCCGCGUGAGUGAAGAAGGUUUUCGGAUCGUAAAGCUCUGUUGUAAGUCAAGAACGAGUGUGAGAGUGGAAAGUUCACACUGUGACGGUAGCUUACCAGAAAGGGACGGCUAACUACGUGCCAGCAGCCGCGGUAAUACGUAGGUCCCGAGCGUUGUCCGGAUUUAUUGGGCGUAAAGCGAGCGCAGGCGGUUUGAUAAGUCUGAAGUUAAAGGCUGUGGCUCAACCAUAGUUCGCUUUGGAAACUGUCAAACUUGAGUGCAGAAGGGGAGAGUGGAAUUCCAUGUGUAGCGGUGAAAUGCGUAGAUAUAUGGAGGAACACCGGUGGCGAAAGCGGCUCUCUGGUCUGUAACUGACGCUGAGGCUCGAAAGCGUGGGGAGCGAACAGGAUUAGAUACCCUGGUAGUCCACGCCGUAAACGAUGAGUGCUAGGUGUUGGAUCCUUUCCGGGAUUCAGUGCCGCAGCUAACGCAUUAAGCACUCCGCCUGGGGAGUACGACCGCAAGGUUGAAACUCAAAGGAAUUGACGGGGGCCCGCACAAGCGGUGGAGCAUGUGGUUUAAUUCGAAGCAACGCGAAGAACCUUACCAGGUCUUGACAUCCCGAUGCUAUUUCUAGAGAUAGAAAGUUACUUCGGUACAUUGGUGACAGGUGGUGCAUGGUUGUCGUCAGCUCGUGUCGUGAGAUGUUGGGUUAAGUCCCGCAACGAGCGCAACCCCUAUUGUUAGUUGCCAUCAUUCAGUUGGGCACUCUAGCGAGACUGCCGGUAAUAAACCGGAGGAAGGUGGGGAUGACGUCAAAUCAUCAUGCCCCUUAUGACCUGGGCUACACACGUGCUACAAUGGUUGGUACAACGAGUUGCGAGUCGGUGACGGCAAGCUAAUCUCUUAAAGCCAAUCUCAGUUCGGAUUGUAGGUUGCAACUCGCCUACAUGAAGUCGGAAUCGCUAGUAAUCGCGGAUCAGCACGCCGCGGUGAAUACGUUCCCGGGCCU
rnacentral:rRNA from 1 species